rnacentral:rRNA from 1 species
CACGUAGGGCGCAAGCGUUGUCCGGAAUUAUUGGGCGUAAAGAGCUCGUAGGCGGUCUGUUGCGUCCGCUGUGAAAACCCGGGGCUUAACCCUGGGCUGGCAGUGGAUACGGACAGACUAGAGGUAGGUAGGGGAGAAUGGAAUUCCCGGUGUAGCGGUGAAAUGCGCAGAUAUCGGAGGAACACCGGUGGCGAAGGCGGUUCUCUGGGCCUUACCUGACGCUGAGGAGCGAAAGCGUGGGGAGCGAACAGG